GGAAUAUUGGACAAUGGCCGGAAGGCUGAUCCAGCCAUGCCGCGUGAAGGAAUAAGGUCCUAUGGAUUGUAAACUUCUUUUGUACGAGAGCAAUAAGUGUCACGAGUGACACGAUGAGAGUAUCGUACGAAUAAGCAUCUGCUAACUCCGUGCCAGCAGCCGCGGUAAUACGGAGGAUGCGAGCGUUAUCCGGAUUUAUUGGGUUUAAAGGGUGCGUAGGCUGUUCGUCAAGUCAUAGGUGAAAUACCUGAGCCUAACUCAGGAACUGCCUUUGAUACUGGCGAGCUGGAAUACGGAUGCCGUGGGAGGAAUGAGUAGUGUAGCGGUGAAAUGCAUAGAUAUUACUCAGAACACCGAUUGCGAAGGCAUCUCACGAAUCCGUCAUUGACGCUGAGGCACGAAAGCGUGGGGAUCAAACA
rnacentral:rRNA from 1 species